AUACGUAGGUGGCAAGCGUUAUCCGGAAUUAUUGGGCGUAAAGAGGGAGCAGGCGGCAGCAAGGGUCUGUGGUGAAAGCCUGAAGCUUAACUUCAGUAAGCCAUAGAAACCAGGCAGCUAGCGUGCAGGAGAGGAUCGUGGAAUUCCAUGUGAAGCGGUGAAAUGCGUAGAUAUAUGGAGGAACACCAGUGGCGAAGGCGACGAUCUGGCCUGCAACUGACGCUCAGUCCCGAAAGCGUGGGGAGCAAAUAGGAUUAGAUACCCUAGUAGUCCACGCCGUAAACGAUGAGUACUAAGUGUUGGAUGUCAAAGUUCAGUGCUGCAGUUAACGCAAUAAGUACUCCGCCUGAGUAGUACGUUCGCAAGAAUGAAACUCAAAGGAAUUGGCGGGG
rnacentral:rRNA from 1 species